rnacentral:rRNA from 1 species
ACGAACGCUGGCGGCAUGCCUAACACAUGCAAGUCGCACGAGACCUUCGGGUCUAGUGGCGCACGGGUGCGUAACGCGUGGGAACCUGCCCUUAGGUUCGGAAUAACUCCCCGAAAGGGGUGCUAAUACCGGAUAAUGUCUUCGGACCAAAGAUUUAUCGCCUUUGGAUGGGCCCGCGUUGGAUUAGCUAGUUGGUAGGGUAAAAGCCUACCAAGGUGACGAUCCAUAGCUGGUCUGAGAGGUUGAUCAGCCACACUGGGACUGAGACACGGCCCAGACUCCUACGGGAGGCAGCAGUGGGGAAUAUUGGACAAUGGGCGAAAGCCUGAUCCAGCAAUGCCGCGUGAGUGAUGAAGGCCUUAGGGUUGUAAAGCUCUUUUACCCGGGAUGAUAAUGACAGUACCGGGAGAAUAAGCUCCGGCUAACUCCGUG